UUGAACGCUGGCGGCAUGCUUUACACAUGCAAGUCGAACGGCAGCGGGGGCUUCGGCCCGCCGGCGAGUGGCGAACGGGUGAGUAAUGCAUCGGAACGUACCCAGUCGUGGGGGAUAACUACGCGAAAGCGUAGCUAAUACCGCAUAUGCCCUGAGGGGGAAAGUGGGGGAUCGCAAGACCUCACGCUUUCGGAGUGGCCGAUAUCGGAUUAGCUAGUUGGUGGGGUAAAGGCCCACCAAGGCGACGAUCCGUAGCUGGUCUGAGAGGACGACCAGCCACACUGGGACUGAGACACGGCCCAGACUCCUACGGGAGGCAGCAGUGGGGAAUUUUGGACAAUGGGGGCAACCCUGAUCCAGCCAUGCCGCGUGAGUGAAGAAGGCCUUCGGGUUGUAAAGCUCUUUCGGACGGAAAGAAACGGUCACGGCCAAUACCCGUGGCUAAUGACGGUACCGUCAGAAGAAGCACCGGCUAACUACGU
rnacentral:rRNA from 1 species